AAUCUGUGUGUAGGCAUGGAAGCAAACAUCCUCUCUUGGCUUCUGCAGCAAAUUCCAAGUGGCAAUGGAACUUUACCUUCGCUGACUCUUUUGUUUCUUUUUUCCCGUGGAUUCUGUGCUUUUGUUUUUGUUUCUGGUUUUGGUUUUUAUAUAACUCAGAAGUUAUUUCCUAAUGUGCCAGAAAUGUUUGUGAAUUUGGUUUUAUAGCCUAUUUGAUCAUCCUUUUUAGGUGGAGACCUAUUCUGUUGGGUUAGAGAUGACAGAAAAUCUUAUUUGUCGGUUGGUUUGUUUGUUCAAGAAUACACUGACCUUCUACAAGAAAGGAGAGCUCUUUGACACCUGGAAAUAGACGGGGUUUUACCAUGCUGCUGCACACUGG
rnacentral:lncRNA from 10 species